UACAGAGGUCUCAAGCGUUGUUCGGAUUCAUUGGGCGUAAAGGGUGCGUAGGCGGCGUGGUAAGUCGGGUGUGAAAUCUCGGAGCUUAACUCCGAAACUGCAUUCGAUACUGCCGUGCUUGAGGACUGGAGAGGAGACUGGAAUUUACGGUGUAGCGGUGAAAUGCGUAGAUAUCGUAAGGAAGACCAGUGGCGAAGGCGGGUCUCUGGACAGUUCCUGACGCUGGAGGCACGAAGGCCCAGGGGAGCAAACGGG
rnacentral:rRNA from 1 species